UCCUUCUGUGUCAUGAAUGAUUGUUACAUAAGGAAUAAGAAACGGAAAGAGGUGUGAUCCCUCUGCUGUCGCGCAACUGUAAAGGAAACGAAAGCCGGGUACGCCACUGUCCUUUUGUAGCGGGACGGGAAGGCCGGCAAGUAGGUUGUCCUGAGCCAGGAGACGUCUUAUUGAAGUUCCACGGAG
rfam:Nitrospirae bacterium GWC2_57_9 gwc2_scaffold_3675, whole genome shotgun sequence.